AAAAUACACCUAGACAGUGUAUGUGUGUGUGUGUGUGUGUGUGUGUGUGUGUAUAUAUAUACAUACACACACACACACACACACACACACUUAGAUCAUA